rnacentral:rRNA from 1 species
AUUGAACGCUGGCGGCAGGCCUAACACAUGCACGUCGAGCGGAGCGGCGGACGGGUGAGUAAUGCCUAGGAAUCUGCCUGGUCGUGGGGGAUAACGUCCGGAAACGGGCGCCAAUACCGCAUACUAUCAGAUGAGCCUAGGUCGGAUUAGCUAGGUGGUUGGGUAAAGGCCUACCAAGGCGACGAUCCGUAACUGGUCUGAGUGGACGAUCAGUCACACUGGAGCUGGGAAACGGUCCAGACUCCUACGGGAGGCAGCAGUGGGGAAUAUUGGACAAUGGGCGAAAGCCUGAUCCAGCCAUGCCGCGUAUUUGAAGAAGGUCUUCGGAUUGUAAAGCACUUUAAGUUGGGAGGCGUUACCAACAGAAUAAGCACCGGCUAACUUCGUGCCAGCCGCCGCGGUAAUAC